ACUCUAAAUGUUGUUGCAGAUAUUGCUCUCGUGGACUCUAUUGCUUUGUGCUUACUGUAUGUUUUCUGGAGUUCACUAAAAAUAUAAUUGCAAGUUCCUCCCGCUUCUCCUUUCAGUUGAUUCAAAGCCAGUUCCCUCUCCAUUCAUCAUGAAGAAUCUUGUGAUCUUGGUGUCUGUUCUGGCACUCAUGAGCUGUGCAAUGGCCGGAGGCUGCGGUCGUCAGAGGUGUACACCAAAUGCUGCGGGGAAAAUGGAAUGUAUUUGUUACGACGAAAAUUGGAAACCCACAGGAAGUUAUGUAAGCAAAAGAGACGCAGAGGCGGCUAUGGCUGAAGAAAACUGAAAAGCAGAUUGCAAUCAACCCAGAUGUUCAGCAGGUUCACCAAAAGAUCUCAAAGGCACACCUUCACUGCUUGAUACCUCCACUCCAUUCACGUCUUCCAUUAGCCCUGAACCCUGAUUUCAUGGGCAGUCACCCCAGUUGCCUCAAGGAACCUGUCAAAAUUCAGCAACUGCAAAUAAAUUGUGGUCUUCAAGCCUGUCAU